UGAGGAAUAUUCGUCAAUGGGGGCAACCCUGAACGAGCAACGCCGCGUGGAGGAUGAAGGUUCUUGGAUUGUAAACUCCUUUUCUGUGGGAAGAGCAAGGACGGUACCACAGGAAUAAGUCACGGCUAACUACGUGCCAGCAGCCGCGGUAAUACGUAGGUGGCAAGCGUUAUCCGGAAUUACUGGGCGUAAAGCGCACGCAGGUGGUUACUUAAGUCUGAUGUGAAAGCUCCUGGCUUAACUGGGAGAGGUCGUUGGAAACUGUGUAACUUGAGGUGAUGAGAGGGGUGUGGAAUUCCCGGUGUAGUGGUGGAAUGCGUAGAUAUCGGGGGGAACACCAGUGGCGAAAGCGGCACCCUGGCAUUGACCUGACGCUCAGGUGCGAAAGCGUGGGUAGCGAACGGGAUUAGAUACCCCGGUAGUCCACGCUGUAAACGAUGAAUACUAGGUGUGGGUGAUAUCAAAUUAUCUGUGCCGAAGCUAACGCGAUAAGUAUUCCGCCUGGGGACUACGGCCGCAAGGCUAA
rnacentral:rRNA from 1 species